UACGGAGGGGGCAAGCGUUGUUCGGAAUUACUGGGCGUAAAGGGCGUGUAGGCGGCUUGCUCAGUCGAACGUGAAAUCCCCGGGCUCAACCCGGGAAGUGCGUUCGAGACUGGCUGGCUCGAAUCCGGGAGAGGGAUGUGGAAUUCCAGGUGUAGCAGUGAAAUGCGUAGAUAUCUGGAGGAACACCGGAGGCGAAGGCGACAUCCUGGACCGGCAUUGACGCUGAGGCGCGAAAGCCAGGGGAGCAAACGGG
rnacentral:rRNA from 1 species